CAUGGCUCACCUUUUCACAUUUUCUUUUUGCAUUUGAAUCUUCCUUGGGAGGGUGAUUGACUCCAUACUCUGUGGUCUCUUAGCCCAACAAUCCUGCCCCAAAUGUCCCAGAAUCCUAUAGGACCAUAGAGUAUAGAAGUCAUAUAGUUGUAUUUCCUAAAACUUUAAAUUCAGACCACAAAAUUAGCUCCUACAUUUUUUUUUUAACUGAUGAGGUCAACUGAGUCAACUUUUUCAACAGUUUCAUGUUGUAUUUACUUACUCAGAAGACAACUUGCCUAUUCACCAAGUGAUCUCCCUUCAAGCUCACACCUUUGCUGGGUGAAGGCUUCCUUACUCAAGGUGGCACCUUCCACCACUAACUUCUCCCUCCGCUUGAUGCCAGGGACAAGUCAUGUGACCCUUUCCUGUGUUUAAUUCAUUUUGUAUAGCUAUGGUAUAACAUCUCUUACAUCGCCAUUAUAAAAUGUGUCAAACUAUAUUAGAGUUACAUUUCAUGAAAUGAAAUUCCCUAAUAUUAGAGAGAAUAUAACUGGUUGUUAGAGUCCAAGGCAGUGCCUGGCACACAGCAGAUUUACAAUGCUUGCAUGCACUUGGCUUACAUUAAAGACUCAUGCAAAUUCUACAUCCCACAUCUACAUAUAAGCAUUUUUGUAUCAACGAGUAAUUGUUGCUACCUAUAACUUUGCAUUAUAAGCAGAGGCAUGAAAAGUAUUCAGUAUUUAUUUCUGGGCUUUUCUAAAAAGUACUAUGUAGACCAGUAGUACACCCACUGGAGUGUCAGCCGCUGUAUACCAUAUCGCAUAACAGACACAGAACACUACCUGAUUUAAUGAAUUGUCAUCAAAGCCUUAUCCUUUAAGAGACACAAGACAAUUCUAGUUAGAGAAGUCUUAACCGUGGGGCCUAUCCUAGGACAGUCAUUUUGGAAAAAGGUUUGUUGGAGUUGUUGGCUUUUGAAAGGGACUCUGAAAGUCAAAACUGGGUGGCAAGAAAAGAAGGAAAAAAGGAAGACUGUCAAGCUGGUGUGGGUCUGACACCCCAUCCUCAUGUUUACCACUUGCUUGUGUUGGAAUUCUGUAUGUAAUUUCAUCUGGAGACUUUCCAUUUUCUGUAAAGAGAAUGGUAAUUUUAAAAGAUUUUAAAACAUCUCCAUUAAUUUACACCCCCUCCUCCUAGAUGACUGGCGCUUAUGUAAAACAUGAGAAGCUCCCCCUCACUCAGUCAAUUGCGAAACAACACAGGGCCUUUGAGGUCCGGCAUUCACUCUUCAUGGUGUCCUCGCCACCUUCCACCUGGAGGGCUCUGUUGGCAGCAGAUUCAGGAUGGGGUUCUUUGAUCUUGAGAAUUCUUGAUCCCGUGGGGUUAACAAAUAAGUACUAAUUAUGGUAAUGAGUAAAAUUUUACUUAUUACUAAUUUAACUAGCUUUAUUAGUUACUUAGGAACUUCAAAUAAGUACUGAUUUUGCCAUGCACAGAAUAGUACACACUCUUCUGAUGGUGUGUGCAUCAUGUUAAAAGUGAUGAGAUCAAGGGAGCUGAAAGGGUCCCUGCAGCUGUUGAGGUGAAAGGUAGAAUUGGCUAGGCAGCGACAAGGAGAAAGUCAGGUCUAGCAGAGUAAAAGGAUUCCAGGCAGAAAAAAAAAGCCUACACAGGAAUAGGGAAGGAGGAAGGCGGUCGAAAUGUUGACAAAGCCACAAGUGUCAUCGGCUGGUCAUGUCCCGUGAAAAAAUGGGAUUACAUAAAAAAGGCAGGUGGUGGCCAGAUUGAGAAGAGGACUGCAUGCCAAGAAAUAGCAUGGUGACCUCCCUUUCUUCCCAUAGGAUGGCGUGGGUGUGCAGCUGUCAGGAAGUUAGAGGACUGGCUAUUUGUGGGUGAAAUGGGCAGCACUCUCUGAGUUUAAGUGUGGAUAAAAAUGCCAACAAAAGAAACUGGCAUGUUCAGUCCUACAUGAAUCCACCUUCUCUUUGUUCUUCUUUAAUUUUUUUGUUUGUAUUUUAUUCUUAAUAUCAUAGAAUGAAUCACAUAAACCCUGCCUUUUCCAUAAACCGUCUUCUUUGAAACGUUAGCACUAAAAAAAAAAAAAAAAAAAAAAAAAAAAAA
ensembl:lncRNA